rnacentral:lncRNA from 1 species
GCGGUCUUCGGAGAAGGUCGCCGCCGGCACGUGGUCCCCACGUGCCGCCACUGUAGGUAGCGCGUGGAGGCGCGUGUUGUAGGGUUUUAGAUGUCAUUUUAAUCCCCUAUACCAGUUAAUGAUUGUAGAAUGUAAUGUGUGAAGUUUGGUUGACAUCGGAGGAAUUUCGGAUUGAGAUUAAAUUGUAUAAUUAACGGAUUACGUGAAUUCGAACGUUGGAAUUAUUUCGAAUUCACUCCAGAAUUUAAUUAUCGAUGAUUGAAUAUUGAUGGAGUUAAGAAUGUGGUAGAAUGUUGAGAAGUCG